UGCAUUUGGUUAAUGUCUAAAAAUGUUAUUCGAUUACGAAAUGUACUAUUUGACCUCAACCUUUGAACAUCAUUGAGAUUUCUUGCCAAACACGAAUAUCUUGCAAAAACAAUAUUGUUUCUAAGUGAAUUUAUUGAAAAAGUUUUGCAGCUCUGAGAUGAACACUGUUUUAUUUUGUGUUUUCGCCACAUUCAUUGUGGGUUUGAAUGCAGCUGUUUAUCACUUAGGAAGAGAUCCUAAUAAUUCAGAUCAUCCAGGACACUGUAACUCUAACGAUACUGGGCUAAUAAAACAUGGAGAGAC